rnacentral:misc_RNA from 1 species
AUAAUAGAAAGCAUUCUUAUCUGAUUACCUAUAAGAGAUGUUGUGAGAGAUUGAAGAUGGGAAAGUUUUCUUUUUAUAAUGCAGAUUUCUUUAUCAUGCUUGAACAAAGAAAAAGGAAGUAUAAGGGGGAGAUAAAGGAAGAGAGAAGGAUUUUAAUCGAGUUGGCUAAAUUUUUUUAUUAUUUUUUAAUGACACAUGGAUAAGCCACGUGCACAAUUUGCCGGAGGAAUGGCCAGAUUUUGGACAAAGGAUUUUUGAUGCAUCAAUUUUAAGUAUUUUAUAGCAAUAAAUUGAAGUUGGGGGACUGACAUGAAACUACCCCAAAAGUUGAGGGACAAAUUUUAUAAUUUACCCAAACUGGGCACAAUCAUAUCUAUCCCAAUAUAAAUGCCAAAACACCAGUUUGCCAUCCAUUCUUUCUCUAUCUAAGAUCACUCAUAGAAUACUUGCAUGUCGCAAGAGACUAAAUUAUAUAUAAUCACUUUUGAAUUAGCAUAAAGAUAAGAUCCACGAAUUAUGUCAAAUAAU